ACGGCUCAGUAACACGUAGUCAACAUACCCAGAGGACGUGGAUAACCUCGGGAAACUGAGUCUAAACCGCGAUAGGUCAAGAUUCCUGGAAUGGUUCCUGAUCGAAAUCUAUAUGGCCUUUGGAUUGGACUGCGGCCGAUCAGGCUGUUGGUGAGGUAAUGGCCCACCAAACCUGUAACCGGUACGGGCUCUGAGAGGAGGAGCCCGGAGAUGGGCACUGAGACAAGGGCCCAGGCCCUAUGGGGCGCAGCAGGCGCGAAGCCUCUGCAAUAGGCGAAAGCCUGACAGGGUUACUCUGAGUGACUUUCGUUAAGAGAGUCUUUUGGCACCUCUAAAAAGGGUGUAGAAUAAGGGGUGGGCAAGUCUGGUGUCAGCCGCCGCGGUAAUACCAGCACCCCGAGUGGUCGGGACGAUUAUUGGGCCUAAAGCAUCCGUAGCCGGUUUUACAAGUCCCCCGUUAAAUCCAGCUGCUUAACAGAUGGGCUGCGGAGGAUACUAUAAGACUAGGAGGCAGGAGAGGCAAGCGGUACUCAGUGGGUAGGGGUAAAAUCCGUUGAUCCAUUGAAGACCACCAGUGGCGAAGGCGGCUUGCCAGAAUGCGCUCGACGGUGAGGGAUGAAAGCUGGGGGAGCAAACCGGAUUAGAUACCCGGGUAGUCCCAGCUGUAAACGAUGCAGACUCGGUGAUGGACUAGCUUUAUGCUAGUCCAGUGCCGCAGGGAAGCCGUUAAGUCUGCCGCCUGGGUAGUACGGUCGCAAGACUGAAACUUAAAGGAAUUGGCGGGGGAGCAC
rnacentral:rRNA from 1 species